CCCAUGGCUCUGAGCACCAAAGGGAUGCUGCUCCUCAGAAGGUCCCCAAAGUGCUGGUGUGUCACCCAGGGCUCCAGAGAGCUCAGCAGCCCCCCCAAAAAACCAUCUUUGACCCUUGGAAAUGGGGAUGGACGUGGUGGGCAGGGAUGCUGGGGCUCUCUGCUCCUCUCCCAGUGGGAAUUGGGGACCUUGGAGGAGCAGAUGGGGUUGUCCCCUCUCCCUGGCACGUCAAAACCCCUUUAUUUUCCAGUUGUUGCCCCUUGAGCUCCGUCCCCCCCAAAAAAAA
rnacentral:lncRNA from 1 species